rnacentral:rRNA from 1 species
GACAGAGGGUGCAAACGUUGCUCGGAUUUACUGGGCGUAAAGCGCACGUAGGCGGAUUUGUAAGUCAGGGGUGAAAUCCCGAGGCUCAACCUCGGAACUGCCUUUGAUACUGGGGAUCUCGAGUCCGGGAGAGGUGAGUGGAACUGCGAGUGUAGAGGUGAAAUUCGUAGAUAUUCGCAAGAACACCAGUGGCGAAGGCGGCUCACUGGCCCGGAACUGACGCUGAGGUGCGAAAGCGUGGGGAGCAAACAGG